rnacentral:lncRNA from 1 species
AUCUUUACAACAACCUUCUGUUUCUUUAGUUAUUAUUCACUUCUCUGUGGGUUCCUUCUCAGACUUGGGAAAAGGUCCCUUCUUCAGAAGGUGAUCAAUGGAGACCAGCCAAAAACUCCAAUUAGCCUGGUAACUUGGAGUUUAUAUCACCGUUCAAAAGCAUUUGAAUACUUAUUCACUGAUUUAGAGAAAAUAAUCUCAUCAUCUCAUUGGUCCUCAACACGAAAGCUUGAAGUGUCCACAUUUCCAAAUGGCCUGCCUCUAAUCUUUGGAGGACCCUCCCUGCCAUCAGCAAUUCACCUCCAUGCACAGCCAGUCUCUGUGUUAACCAGCCCAGGGUCCUCCUCCACAUGGUCUGUAAAUAUACUCCCUGCAGCUGGCCUUCUUAGAGUGGGUGAGCCUGCUGACUAUACGUUUGUAGGCUAUGACUGUUCUGGAUCCUUUUCUUUUCUUUUCAAGAGUCUCACUCUGUCACCCAGGCUGGAAUGCAGCAGAGAUUGGAAGGGAGGGGACUGUGUGGCCCUUAGCCAUGCACACAGGGGACUCUCCUUUCAUCUUUGGUCAUCUGGAAUGGACAGAGAAGCUGUGAUGAACUUCAGAGGGAAUGUUGUGAUCACAUCACUCAUUCGUUACAUGAAUCGUUCAUGUAUUCGCCACCUGUUGAGUGAUGUCUUCUAGGCAACCAGUACUAUGGAAGAUACAAAAGAUGGAAGAUAACACCCCAUAUCUUCCUAUGAAUAAGACUCCUUAUUCAUACAGGAGAACACCCUCUAUGUACCUGUAGGGUCAACCAUUAAACUGAAAAGCACCCUAAGGAAUUAGAGCUUUCAAAAUUAAAUGGACACACAUAUUCACACACAUUUUGCUUUACAAGUUGCUUUGUUUUACAUGCAAAUCUUAAUGAUAAAGGCUGCACCUAUAUGAGAGAAGAUUUCUGAACCCCACAUUUAUUUUAAUCUUGGGACCCCAGUCUAGUUUUCUCCUUCCUCCAAAGCACAUUGUAUUAGUUUGUUCUCAUGCUGCUAAUAAAGACAUACCUGAGACUGUAAUUUAUAAAGGAAAGAGGUUUAAUUGACUCAUAGUUCUGCAUGGCUGGGGAGGCC